AAUAGAAACCCUGACUAAGACACACCAGGACACCAUGGGGCUGGGAGCAGCUCUACUGGUUAAGAUGGCCUCCCAAGUCUAGAAUUACAGAUGUGACCCACCAAUCAAUCAAUCCAACUAGACGCUUCGAACAGAUAUAUCCUCUCUUUGAGACAGUUCCUUUCUGACUCAAGUGUGUGAGGCUCUGUCAAAGGCUGCAGUCACCGCCCACACCACUCUGGAUCUCUGCUGUCUGGUGAACAGUGAGGACAUCCCACCUUGUGGACCAGCCACCUAUUAUAGACUCUAGUUUCAGGGGAAUGAUAACUUGCAUCUGAAGAUGAAUUACUGGCUUCGUUAACCUGAUGAUGUGGCUCUUUCCCCUUCCGGGUGUCUUCUGGAAGAUGUAUAUGG
rnacentral:lncRNA from 1 species